AGCGAACGCUGGCGGCAGGCCUAACACAUGCAAGUCGAACGAACCUUUCGGGGUUAGUGGCGGACGGGUGAGUAACACGUGGGAACGUGCCUUUAGGUUCGGAAUAACUCAGGGAAACUUGUGCUAAUACCGAAUGUGCCCUUCGGGGGAAAGAUUUAUGGCCUUUAGAGCGGCCCGCGUCUGAUUAGCUGGUUGGUUGAGGUAAUGGCUCACCAAGGCGACGAUCGGUAGCUGGUCUGAGAGGAUGAUCGGCCACAUGGGGACUGAGACACGGCCCAGACUGGGACGGGAGGCAGGAGUGGGGAAUAGUGCACAAUGGGCGGAAGCAUGAUGCAGCCAGGCCGCGUGAGGGAUGACGGCUUUCGGGUUGUAAACCGCUUUAGCCUGGGACGAAGCGGGAGUGACGGUAAUGGGUAAAGAAGCACCGGCUAACUACGUG
rnacentral:rRNA from 1 species